UAAUACGAAGGGCCCGAGCGUUAUUCGGAAUCACUGGGCUUAAAGCGUACGUAGGCUGGUAUAUAGGCGUCUUGUGAAAUCCCUCGGCUCAACCGAGGAACUGCAAGGCGAACCAUAUAUCUUGAGACAGACAGAGGUCGUCGGAACGAUUGGUGGAGUGGUGAAAUGUGUUGUUAUCAAUCGGAACGCCGAAGGAGAAGUCAGGCGACUGGGUCUGUUCUGACGCUGAGGUACGAAAGCGUGGGUAGCGAACGGGAUUAGAUACCCCGGUAGUCCACGCCGUAAACAAUGUGCACUAGGUUGAGGGCGUUCUGACGCGACUCUCGGCCGAAGCGAAAGUGUUAAGUGCACCGCCUGGGGAGUACGGUCGCAAGGCUA
rnacentral:rRNA from 1 species